GCUACUACCGAUUGAAUGGUUUAGUGAGGACUCCUGAUUGGCGCCGCCGCCCCGGCAACGGAGCAGCGGACUGCCGAAAAGUUGUUCAAACUUGAUCAUUUAGAGGAAGUAAAAGUCGUAACAAGGUUUUCGUAGGUGAACCUGCAGAAGGAUCAUCCAGUGGGCUCCUACCGAUUGAGUGAUCCGGUGAAUUAUUCGGACUGACGCAGUGCUCAGCUUCUGGACGUUGCGUUGGAAGGUUUCAUGAACCUUAUCACUUAGAGGAAGGAGAAGUCGUAACAAGGUUUCCGUAGUGAACCUGCAGAAGGAUCA
rnacentral:misc_RNA from 1 species